AUUGAACGCUGGCGGCAGGCCUAACACAUGCAAGUCGAACGAGUGGCGGAAGGGUGAGUAAUGUCUGGGAAACUGCCUGAUGGAGGGGGAUAACUACUGGAAACGGUAGCUAAUACCGCAUACUAUAGGAUGUGCCCAGAUUGAAUUAGCGAGUGGGUGGGGUAAAGGCUCACCUAGGCGACGAUCCCUAGCUGGUCUGGGCGGAUGACCAGCCACACUGGAACUGAGACACGGUCCAGACUCCUACGGCAGGCAGCGUUGGGGAAUAUUGCACAAUGGGCGCAAGCCUGAUGCGGACAUGCCGCGUGUGUGAAGAAGGCCUUCGGGUUGUAAAGCACUUUCAGCGAGGAGGCGUUACUCGCAGAAGAAGCACCGGCUAACUCCGUGCCAGCAGCCGCGGUAAUAC
rnacentral:rRNA from 1 species